rnacentral:rRNA from 1 species
AUUGAACGCUGGCGGAAUGCUUUACACAUGCAAGUCGAACGGCAGCACGGACUUCGGUCUGGUGGCGAGUGGCGAACGGGUGAGUAAUGUAUCGGAACGUGCCCAGUCGUGGGGGAUAACGUAGUGAAAAUUACGCUAAUACCGCAUACGAUCUAUGGAUGAAAGCGGGGGAUCGCAAGACCUCGCGCGAUUGGAGCGGCCGAUAUCAGAUUAGGUAGUUGGUGGGGUAAAGGCCCACCAAGCCAACGAUCUGUAGCUGGUCUGAGAGGACGACCCGCCACACGGGAACUGAGACACGGUCCAGACUCCUACGGGAGGCAGCAUUGGGGAAUUUUGGACAAGCGGCGAAAGCCUGAUCCAGCCAUUCCGCGUGCAGGAUGAAGGCCCUCGGGUUGUAAACUGCUUUUGUACAGAACGAAAAGGUUUCUACUAAUACUAGGAGCUCAUGACGGUACUGUAAGAAUAAGCACCGGCUAACUACGUGCCAGCAGCCGCAGUAA